AUUGAACGCUGGCGGAAUGCUUUACACAUGCAAGUCGAACGGCAGCACGGACUUCGGUCUGGUGGCGAGUGGCGAACGGGUGAGUAAUGUAUCGGAACGUGCCCAGUCGUGGGGGAUAACGUAGUGAAAAUUACGCUAAUACCGCAUACGAUCUAUGGAUGAAAGCGGGGGAUCGCAAGACCUCGCGCGAUUGGAGCGGCCGAUAUCAGAUUAGGUAGUUGGUGGGGUAAAGGCCCACCAAGCCCACGAUCUGUAGCUGGUCUGAGAGGACGACCAGCCACACGGGAACCGAGCCACGGUCCAGACUCCUACGGGAGGCAGCAGUGGGGAAUUUUGGACAAUGGGCGAAAGCCUGAUCCAGCCAUUCCGCGUGCAGGAUGAAGGCCCUCGGGUUGUAAACUGCUUUUGUACAGAACGAAAAGGUUUCUACUAAUACUAGGAGCUCAUGACGGUACUGUAAGAAUAAGCACCGGCUAACUACGUGCCAGCCGCCGCAGUAA
rnacentral:rRNA from 1 species